rnacentral:rRNA from 1 species
GCCUACGGGGGGCAGCAGUAGGGAAUUUUCGUCAAUGGGCGCAAGCCUGAACGAGCAAUGCCGCGUGAACGAGGAAGGUCUUCGGAUCGUAAAGUUCUGUUGAAGGGGAAAAAGAGCGGAGAGAGGAAAUGGUCUCCGAUUGAUAUUACCCUUCGAGGAAGUCACGGCUAACUACGUGCCAGCAGCCGCGGUAAUACGUAGGUGGCGAGCGUUAUCCGGAAUGAUUGGGCGUAAAGGGUGCGUAGGCGGUUAAACAAGUUAUAUGUUA